AGUGAACGCUGGCGGUAGGCCUAGCACAUGCCAGUCGAACGGCAGCACAGUAAGAGCUUGCUCUUACGGGUGGCGAGUGGCGGACGGGUGAGGAAUACAUCGGAAUCUACUUUUUCGUGGGGGAUAACGUAGGGAAACUUACGCUAAUACCGCAUACGACCUACGGGUGAAAGCAGGGGAUCUUCGGACCUUGCGCGAUUGAAUGAGCCGAUGUCGGGUUAGCUAGUUGGCGGGGUAAAUGCCCACCCAGGCGACGAUCCGUAGCUGGUCUGAGAGGAUGAUCAGCCACCCUGGAACUGAGACACGGUCCAGACUCCAACGAGAGGCAGCAGUGGGGUAUAUUGGACAAUGGGCGCAAGCCUGGUCCAGACAUACCACGUCGGUGAAGGAGGCCUUCGGGUUGUAAAGCCCUUUUGUUGGGAAAGAAAAGCAGCAGGUUAAUACCCAGCUGUUCUGACGGUACCCAAAGAAUAAGCACCGGCUAACUUCGUG
rnacentral:rRNA from 1 species